AGAGUUUGAUCAUGGCUCAGAAUCAACGCUGGCGGCGUGCCUCAGACAUGCAAGUCGAACGAUUAAAGCUCUCUUCGGAGAGUGCAUAAAGUGGCGCACGGGUGAGUAACACGUAAGUAAUCUACCCUCGAGUGGGGAAUAACACCGGGAAACCGGUGCUAAUACCGCAUAAUGCAGCGGCACCGCAAGGUGACAGUUGUUAAAGAUUUAUUGCUUGAGGAGGAGCUUGCGGCAGAUUACCUAGUUGGUAAGGUAAUGGCUUACCAAGGCAACGAUCUGUAGCCGGUCUAAGAGGACGGUCGGUCACACUGACACUGAAUAACGAGUCAGACUCCUACGGGAGGCAGCAGUCGGGAAUUUUGGGCAAUGGGCGAAAGCCUGACCCAGCAACGCCGCGUGAGGGAUGAAGUAUUUCGGUAUGUAAACUUCGUAAGAAUGGGAAGAAACAAAUGACGGUACCAUUUGUAAGCCCCGGCUAACUACGUGCCAGCAGCCGCGGUAAUACGUAGGGGGCAAGCGUUGUUCGGAUUUACUGGGCGUAAAGGGCGCGUAGGCGGCGUGACAAGUCACUUGUGAAAUCUCCGGGCUUAACUCGGAACUGCCAAGUGAUACUGUCGUGCUAGAGUGCAGAAAGGGCAAUCGGAAUUCUUGGUGUAGCGGUGAAAUGCGUAGAUAUCAAGAGGAACACCUGAGGCGAAGGCGGGUUGCUAGGCUGACACUGACGCUGAGGCGCGAAAGCUAGGGGAGCAAACGGGAUUAGAUACCCCGGUAGUCCUAGCCCUAAACGAUGAAUACUUGGUGUCUGGAGUUUUUAUCUCGGGUGCGUCGCUACGUUUUAGUAUUCGCUGGGGAGUACCCCUCGCAGGGUGAAACUCAAAGGAUUGACCGGGACCCGCACAAGCCGGUGGGAGCAUG
rnacentral:rRNA from 1 species